AACGCACAUUGCGCUCCCUGGUAUUCCGGGGAGCAUGCCCGUUUCAGAAUCAUUAAAAAAUCUCAUUUUUCGCAUUCCUGCAAAGGGAUUCGGAAGUGGAUUUGGAUGCAUUUGCAAAUCGCAAUCAUCUUAAAAUGAUUGUAUGUGCACCAGUUGGUUCACCAAUUGGUCUCCAAAGUGCAACAGAUUUAUCUAUUACGCUGAGGUGACUGAUCGGAGUCCGUGGAGCGCAUGCUCAGAGUUUCUCAACAGUAAUUGCAUCCUUGGGUGCAAUGACUGAUAACUUGGUCUGAAAUCGGGCAAGAAAACCCGCUGAACUUAA
rnacentral:misc_RNA from 1 species